rnacentral:rRNA from 1 species
UACAGGGGGUGCAAACGUUGCUCGGAAUCAUUGGGCGUAAAGCGCACGUAGGCGGUUCGUUAUGUCGGAUGUGAAAGCCCUUGGCUUAACCGAGGAAGUGCAUCCGAAACUGGCGAGCUAGAGUACUAAAGAGGAUCGCGGAAUUCCCGGUGUAGAGGUGAAAUUCGUAGAUAUCGGGAGGAACACCUGUGGCGAAAGCGGCGCACUGGACCAUAACUGACGCUGAGGCGCGAAAGCUAGGGGAGCAAACAGG